rnacentral:rRNA from 1 species
UACGUAGGGUGCAAGCGUUGUCCGGAAUUAUUGGGCGUAAAGAGCUCGUAGGCGGCCUGUUGCGUCCGCUGUGAAAUCCCGGGGCUCAACCCUGGGCGUGCAGUGGAUACGGGCAGGCUGGAGGCAGGCAGGGGAGAACGGAAUUCCCGGUGUAGCGGUGAAAUGCGCAGAUAUCGGGAGGAACACCGGUGGCGAAGGCGGUUCUCUGGGCCGAUACUGACGCUGAGGAGCGAAAGCGUGGGGAGCGAACAGG